GAUGAACGCUGGCGGCGUGCCUAAUACAUGCAAGUCGAGCGAACAGAUGAGGAGCUUACUCCUCUGACGUUAGCGGCGGACGGGUGAGUAACACGUGGAUAACCUACCUAUAAGACUGGGAUAACUUCGGGAAACCGGAGCUAAUACCGGAUAAUAUAUUGAACCGCAUGGUUCAAUAGUGAAAGACGGUUUUGCUGUCACUUAUAGAUGGAUCCGCGCCGCAUUAGCUAGUUGGUAAGGUAACGGCUUACAAAGGCAACGAUGCGUAGCUGACCUGAGAGGGUGAUCGGCCACACUGGAACUGAGACACGGUCCAGACUCCUACGGGAGGCAGCAGUAGGGAAUCUUCCGCAAUGGGCGAAAGCCUGACGGAGCAACGCCGCGUGAGUGAUGAAGGUCUUCGGAUCGUAAAACUCUGUUAUUAGGGAAGAACAAAUGUGUAAGUAACUAUGCACGUCUUGACGGUACCUAAUCAGAAAGCCACGGCUAACUACGUG
rnacentral:rRNA from 1 species